rnacentral:rRNA from 1 species
UACGUAGGGGGCAAGCGUUGUCCGGAAUUCUUGGGCGUAAAGAGCGUGUAGGCGGCCAGAUAAGUCCGCUGUGAAAUCUCGAGGCUCAACUUCGAGCUGUCGGUGGAAACUAUCUGGCUAGAGUCCGGAAGAGGAGAAUGGAAUUCCUGGUGUAGCGGUGAAAUGCGCAGAUAUCAGGAAGAACACCCGUGGCGAAGGCGGUUCUCUGGGACGGUACUGACGCUGAGACGCGAAAGCGUGGGGAGCGAACAGG